rnacentral:lncRNA from 1 species
AUCGUCCUGGUGAGAUGUCGUUGAAAUACAUGGUGACGAGAGAUUUUCCGGUGGUUAUCCGAGACUUCGUGGUGGAUUUAAUAGCCAUUGAUGUCGUUUCUGCCGAAUAGUUUUUUUUUUAUUUAGGAUGGAUUUAGGUUUAGAGAUAGAACUUUAUAUAGGAGGAUUAUCAAGGAGAGGUAGAGAAAUUUUUUUAAAAAUCCCUUUAACAUCGUCAUUGAUUGAGAAAGUAACGAGAAAAAUAGAAGUUGGAGAAAAUGAUGAAGUGGAAAAGUCGGGAGAAAGUCGCGAAAAUCAUUUUAAUAGAUUCAAUGCGAAAAGCCCAUUUUUUCUCAACUGUACUUACGUGACCAUAUAAUAAUCUAUGAUUGGUUAAUUUUUCAUUCUGACGUGUACACCUUUAGAGGGCUUAGUAUCCUCUUUUUAGUAUAGUUUUGAUUCUCUACCAUUUUAUCCAAGAUUUCUGCUUUCUAACAUGAUAUCAACUUUUAAUGCUUUCAUACAUGAUCUAAUCAUUAUUUCAGCUACCCCACCUUUUUUAGAAUAUCCCUUGCGUACUCAGACACCAUAAUAACAGUUUGACACAGCCGACCAAUCGUCUUAUUUUCACCCACAAAUAUACAUUAAAAUUUCCAAUCUUUGCUAAUCCUAUUAAAAACCUUAACAAUAUUUUAAAGAACACGCACCAUAGCUUAAAUAUUACAAUUCUAGUUAAAUAACGCACCACAGAUGAAAACCUACAUAUUUUCAUAAAACUAAAUAUCCACAUCACGCUCUUAACACUUAACAAACCUGGCCUGCUUAGGCUAUGGCUAAUUGUACAUCUUUUUAACAACGGUCCAAUCAUACAUAUCUACAGAAAAAACAACCAAAUAAACUAGCGUCUUCUCACUGGUAAAGCAACAACCCUUCAGACUUCUCACUUUCAAAUACAACAUCAAAUCAAAUAAUUAUUAAACUUAUCAUUUACAUUUUUAACACUAUUAACAAACCUGGCCUACUCAACUUAUGGCCCAGUCGUACUUUAUUUUAACAACGACCCAAUUGUACAUUUCUACAAAAAACCUAACGAACUACACACAUUGCGCAAGCAACAAUCCUUCAAACUCAACAUUUUGAAAUACAACAUCAAAUCAAAUAAUUAUUAAACUUAGCAACUACAUUUUCUAUAGUUUUGGAGAGUUUUGACCCUGCGGUUAAUAUAUUUAUACGCAUAUUCUGUGCAUAGCGUGGAUAUCGCCUCUAAUUUAAAUUAUUAGUCUUUAUUAGAAAAAAUUAAAAGUGUUGUAUAAUAAAAGUGAGGUGGUGUUUAUAUUUAUUAUUGUAUAUAUAUUAAUUAGUAGGUGUGUAAAAGUGACAAGACAAAAAAAAAGAGAGAGAUGAGACAACGAUGGAGAGAGAGAUGUUGAAAGUGAUUCAGAUUCUUGAUU